GUGUAGUUGUUUUGUGUUAGCUGGUUUGUGUAGUCGCCUCACGUUAGCUGGUUUGUGUGGUUGCCUCACGUUAGCUGGUUUGUGUGGUUGCCUCGUGUUAGCUGGUUUGUGUGGUUGCUUUGUGUUAGCUGGUUUGUGUGGUUGCUUUGUGUUAGCUGGUUUGUGUGGUUGCUUUGUGUUAGCUGGUUUGUGUGGUUGCUUUGUAUUAGCUGGUUUGUGUAGUUGCUUUUUU